AGGCUGUCCGGAGCAGUUCCAGUCGCUGGCCCCCCCAUCAGCACGUAGAGCCAGUUCUCUGCUGGUUUGAGUCUUAUUGAUAUUUUGGCUUUUUCCAUAUAGAACGUUGUCUUAUUCUGGUUUUGGAUCUUUAUUUAUGGAAUGUGUAUGGAUUAUUUUUGUUUGAUGAACUCUUGAUGUGAUUUUUGGAUUCUAUUCUACUACGUACCUGCCUGGACGGCAGAAGAGGUGAGUUCGUCGGUUUUGAGCUUUACGAGUGUAGUGGAGUAGGGUGGAUUUCGAGUCAGAGUAUAUUUAUUUUAUGUUGCUAUUAUCAACUGCGUGGUUGUGGCAGCCAGAGGCUGAUUUUACAUAUAAACUGCGUGUGUAUGUUUUUUUUUAUUUACAGUUAUGAUUCCAGCCGCCUGUGGCUGAGUAUUUAGUGCUUGUAGAAUUUUUUGAUUGUCCGCCGUACAGGGGAGGUGCUGCCGAAAUUUUCUCGGUCAGGGACUCCUCUGGGGGCGUGACAAACACACUCUAAUAAAUAUUUCACUUGCAGGUGAUAAACCACAAGGAGCACAUAAUGUACAAGAUAAAUCAUGCCAUUCACCCCUCUCCAAAAAAGUUUCACUUAUAGGAGAUGAACCAUCAGAAGUACAUAAUGGGCAAGAUAAACCAAGCCAUUCGUGCCUCUCUAAAAAAGUUUCACUUGCAGGAGAUGAACUGGCAGGAGUACAUGAUGCACAAGAUAAACCAAGCCAUUCACUCCUCUCUAAACUUGCAGGAGAUAAACCAAGCCAUUCACUCCUCUCUGAAACUGUGCCUGGUGAUAAGCCAAGUCAUUCACGCCUCACUAUACAAGCACAUCUUCGUCCAUUUAUCACUUGCAGGCAAAAGUUUCUAGGAAUUGAUAUGUUCCAUUCCUUUAGUUGUAUCACCUAGAAGAAUCAUCAAGGUAGGAGUAGGUAGAAAGUUAAUUUAGAUACUAACCUCACUAUGCAAGUUAUCGGGACUGCAACAAAUGGUGAAUGGCUCUUCUUACUGUACACAAUGCAUUAGUAGCUGAUUUUGUUUACAUUCCUUGCAGUAGUACCAUUCGUGCUCUAUUCGGCAUGAAGAUCUACGCAUUCUGUUGCUUGAAAUAGCGGGUUGUUGUAUCGACAUCCAGAGCAUAAGAAAUCAAUACUUCCAUUUGCUCAGUACGUAACUCAGUCAAUUCGUGUAGCUUGAGACUUUUGAUGCAAUGAGUGAGCUUUGUUAGGUUGUAAAUUGCCUUUCUAAUGUGUAAAAGUCAUAUGGAGAACAGUACUAGAAAACAUGUGAUUUAUGCAUGCACUACAACAAAAACUGCAAACGACAACACCCCUACGAC